rnacentral:rRNA from 1 species
UGCAGUCGAGCGGAUGAAGUAAGCUUGCUUACGGAUUCAGCGGCGGACGGGUGAGUAAUGCCUAGGAAUCUGCCUGGUAGUGGGGGAUAACGUUUCGAAAGGAGCGCUAAUACCGCAUACGUCCUACGGGAGAAAGCAGGGGACCUUCGGGCCUUGCGCUAUCAGAUGAGCCUAGGUCGGAUUAGCUAGUUGGUGAGGUAAUGGCUCACCAAGGCUACGAUCCGUAACUGGUCUGAGAGGUGAUCAGUCACACUGGAACUGAGACACGGUCCAGACUCCUACGGGAGGCAGCAGUGGGGAAUAUUGGACAAUGGGCGAAAGCCUGAUCCAGCCAUGCCGCGUGUGUGAAGAAGGUCUUCGGAUUGUAAAGCACUUUAAGUUGGGAGGAAGGGCAGUAAGCUAAUAUCUUGCUGUUUUGACGUUACCGACAGAAUAAGCACCGGCUAACUCUGUGCCAGCAGCCGCGGUAAUACAGAGGGUGCAAGCGUUAAUCGGAAUUACUGGGCGUAAAGCGCGCGUAGGUGGUUUGUUAAGUUGGAUGUGAAAGCCCCGGGCUCAACCUGGGAACUGCAUCCAAAACUGGCAAGCUAGAGUAUGGUAGAGGGUGGUGGAAUUUCCUGUGUAGCGGUGAAAUGCGUAGAUAUAGGAAGGAACACCAGUGGCGAAGGCGACCACCUGGACUGAUACUGACACUGAGGUGCGAAAGCGUGNGGAGCAAACAGGAUUAGAUACCCUGGUAGUCCACGCCGUNAACGAUGUCAACUAGCCGUUGGGAGCCUUGAGCUCUUAGUGGCGCAGCUAACGCAUUAAGUUGACCGCCUGGG